rnacentral:rRNA from 1 species
AUUGAACGCUGGCGGCAGGCCUAACACAUGCAAGUCGAACGGUAACAGGAAGCAGCUUGCUGCUUCGCUGACGAGUGGCGGACGGGUGAGUCAUGUCUGGGAAACUGCCUGAUGGAGGGGGAUAACUACUGGAAACGGUAGCUAAUACCGCAUAACGUCGCAAGAACAAAGAGGGGGACCUUAGGGCCUCUUGCCAUCGGAUGUGCCCAGAUGGGAUUAGCUAGGAGGUGGGGUAACGGCUCACCUAGGCGACGAUCCAUAGCUGGUCUGAGAGGAUGACCAGCCACACUGGAACUGAGACACGGUCCAGACUCCUACGGGAGGCAGCAGUGGGGAAUAUUGCACAAUGGGCGCAAGCCUGAUGCAGCCAUGCCGCGUGUAUGAAGAAGGCCUUCGGGUUGUAAAGUACUUUCAGCGGGUAGGAAGGGAGUAAAGUUAAUACCUUUGCUCAUUGACGUUACCCGCAGAAGAAGCGCCGGCUAACUCCGUG